UGUGAGGGGCUGACGUGGCUCUCUCUGCCUGAUGCCAUUUACAUACUGAGGAACACCCAGUCAGACUCUCACAGGCUGCAGCUUUAUAAAGCAGAGCCCAGUGAAGGGAGAGUUUAUCAGGAACCAGGCACAGUGACAGGAGCACACACCAUGAUUUCACACAUCCAGCUGAUCUGGCCCCUGGCAUUCUGUGUCGCAGGUAUCAGUGGGGACAUCAUCAUGAGCCAGUCUCCCCCGGUGCUGUCAGUGGGACUGGGCCACACUGCAACCAUCACCUGUACGGCCAGUCAAGGUAUUACAGAUGACCUCAGCUGGUACCAGCAGCGAGAAGGUCAGAAACCCUCUCUCCUGAUCUAUGACGCAAAAACUCGAUUCACAGGAGUCUCCAAUCGAUUCACCGGCAGUGGAUAUGGGACCAGUUUCACCCUGACAAUCAGCAAUGUUCAGAAUGAGGAUGUCGCUGACUAUUACUGUAUGCAGGAUUACAGCUACCCGCUUACGUUUGGUAAAGGAACCAAGCUCAGACUGAGUAAGUAAACCUCAAUCCUCCGU